rnacentral:rRNA from 1 species
CCUACGGGAGGCAGCAGUGAGGAAUAUUGGUCAAUGGACGCAAGUCUGAACCAGCCAUGCCGCGUGCAGGAAGACGGCUCUAUGAGUUGUAAACUGCUUUUGUACGAGGGUAAACGCAGAUACGCGUAUCUGUCUGACAGUAUCGUACGAAUAAGGAUCGGCUAACUCCGUGCCAGCAGCCGCGGUAAUACGGAGGAUUCAAGCGUUAUCCGGAUUUAUUGGGUUUAAAGGGUGCGUAGGCGGUCGGAUAAGUUAGAGGUUAAAUCCCGAGGCUCAACCUCGGAAUUGCCUCUGAUACUGUUCGGCUAGAGAGUAGUUGCGGUAGGCGGAAUGUAUGGUGUAGCGGUGAGAUGCUUAGAGAUCAUACAGAACACCGAUUGCGAAGGCAGCUUACCAAGCUACUUCUGACGUUGAGGCACGAAAGCGUGGGGAGCAAACAGGAUUAGAUACCCCAGUAGUC